rnacentral:rRNA from 1 species
GAUGAACGCUAGCGGCAGGCCUAACACAUGCAAGUCGAACGGUAACAUUGGUGCUUGCACCAGAUGACGAGUGGCGCACGGGUGCGUAACGCGUAUAGAACCUACCCUUUACUAGGGGAUAGCCCAUGGAAACGUGGAUUAAUACCCUAUGGUAUGUAAAAUUAGCAUUGAUUUUAUAUUAAAGAUUUAUCGGUAAAGGAUGGCUCUGCGUCCCAUUAGCUAGAUGGUAAGGUAACGGCUUACCCA